UAAGCGCGCGACCUAUACCCG
rnacentral:snRNA from 1 species